AACGAACGCUGGCGGCAGGCUUAACACAUGCAAGUCGAACGGGUGUAGCAAUACAUCAGUGGCAGACGGGUGAGUAACACGUGGGAACCUUCCUAGGGGUACGGAACAACUCAGGGAAACUUGAGCUAAUACCGUAUACGUCCGUAAGGAGAAAGAUUCAUCGCCCCUAGACGGGCCCGCGUCGGAUUAGGUAGUUGGUGGGGUAACGGCCUACCAAGCCUACGAUCCGUAGCUGAUCUGAGAGGAUGAUCAGCCACACUGGGACUGAGACACGGCCCAGACUCCUACGGGAGGCAGCAGUGGGGAAUCUUGGACAAUGGGCGCAAGCCUGAUCCAGCCAUGCCGCGUGAGUGAAGAAGGCCUUAGGGUUGUAAAGCUCUUUUACCAGGGACGAUAAUGACGGUACCUGGAGAAUAAGCCCCGGCAAACUUCGUGCCAGCCGCCGCGGUAAG
rnacentral:rRNA from 1 species